CAAGCCGAUAUUGUGUUCAUGAUCAGAAUUACCUUCAGAUGCACUAGUACUCAUGCGUACAUUUGAAUAAAUAUUCUGAUGUAAAUCAUCCAAUGGUUCUCCUAUACCACUAUGUUCAACAGGUUCAGCAGCAUCACUAUCAUCUUCAGUAUCAUCAUCAUCGCGUACAACUUCAUUCGAAUCAUCCUCCCCAUGCUAUAUCCAGCAAGUAUACUUCUUAUCUAUACCAUAACAUAGUAGAUGCUCCUCAACAAAUGUUAUGUGAUGAUAUACCAUAUUGAUACAUCUCUUGCUUGGAC
rnacentral:lncRNA from 1 species